CUUCAACUUUAUUUAUGAUUCAUUUCAAGUUUACUUAUAGAAAAAUUUUGAAGUAGAUAAAAAAUUAAAUGUUCCUAUCUUUUUAAUUCCCUCCCACCCUCUCUUUGUCAAUCACUUCCUUUCCCUCGUGGUUGCUGAGAAACGGAAGGAAAUUUCUUUUCUUAUGAUGUUAUACAUUUCUCAAAAUUAAACUUUUUCUUGCACAAUGUUUUGGACUUGGCUUAUCUUGAUGUACAAAAUAACUAAAAUUGACUUCUUUUUCUCUCUGUUUUAUUUCAUGUUUCAGUAAUGACAUGGCGGCUUACUGAAAGUGUGAUGGGUUGUUUGCUCUGAGCUUUUGCACUCUUUUAUAACAAAAGAAGAAAAAAGGAAAAAAAAGUGGAUUACAGAAAUUGUGAAGUUUUUUUUCUCAUCAUUUGUUUGCUAUUUUUGUUCUUUGCUCCUCUAGAACAUUGUGUCCCGGAACUACAAAGCUUGUCUGCCUCUUCUAAUAUGUCCAUAAAGCCUGUCUGCUUCCUCUAGACCAUUUGUUUGGUAUUUUUUUUCUAUUUUUCUUACAACUUUCUCAUGUAUUUCAUUGUGUCCGGAACUACAGAAUUGUCUGCCUCUUCUGAUAUGUUCAUAAUGAGUUUCUCCUUUUUUGCCAGAUGGCAUCUAAUAUUGAACUUGUUAUUUGUUGAUUUCAGGUUCCAUUACUAAGAAAUUCAAUCUUUAAGCGUUUGGUUGUAAUCUUAAUUUAUCUUUUUUGUGCCUUGAAUUUUUCAGAAGUCACGGGGUUCACAAUAAAUGAAUGUUUAGAUGCCAAGGAAAAGACAUUUUCCCUUAUUUUUCACUUGUUGGCAAGUCUGAGCAUCUGCUGUGGCUGAUAUGGUACACGGCUCUGCUAUGAAUUGUUUGGGAUAAAAUAUCCUGCAGAUUUAGCAGAAACUCGUGGUGCUCCGGCGGGUGAAGGGAUAUGGUUACAGAGUAAAAUGAUAACAAGGUUAAUAGAGUGUACUUAGGAAAAGGAAUUUUAAUGAGAAAUUCUACGCAAGUUGCAUUUUACUCUUUUAAGCUUAAAAGAUAGUUUGUUAGUAAUGCAUCUUAAGGUCUUUCUUCACCAUCUACAUUUUGGCUUGGGUUCUUGAUUAAAUAAAAGUUUGUAGAACUUCCCUUUACUGAUACCUGACCAGUCCAUUAUAGAAAAUUAUUUUUUCGGCAGAAAUUAUUGGAAGAGGGGCUAGGGGACACGACUGUUUAAUCCCCUCAUGAAAAUCAUAUUGGAGUACACUCUAAUGUAUUCUUAGGAGAUGAUUUCAACGUGUAAAUACAUAGACUUGAUAAUUUAUUUCAAUAACCUUUAAAUAGAAUUAUUUCAAUAACCUUUAACUAUUUAAACCUUUUCCAUUAUCAUCCUGCAUUUCUUUUCAUUUUGUUUUUAACGAGGCAGUUGUGCUAGAUAAUGAAAAUCCAGAAUUUUUAUUGCAGAUGU
rnacentral:lncRNA from 1 species